GCCGAGCGGUAUUUCUUCUUCGGGAGAGAGAGAGCGGCGUACGGGUGCGGACCAUUUGUGCCACCUGCCUUUAUCUAGAGGAUAGCCUUUCGAAAGGAAUAUUAAUACUCUAUAAUAUAUUAAUUGGCAUCAAUUGAUAUUGAAAACUCCGGUGGAUAGAGAUGGGCACGCGCAGGAUUAGCUAGUUGGUGAGGUAACGGCUCACCAAGGCAAUGAUCUUUAGGGGGCCUGAGAGGGUGAUCCCCCACACUGGUACUGAGACACGGACCAGACUCCUACGGGAGGCAGCAGUGAGGAAUAUUGGUCAAUGGGUGCAAGCCUGAACCAGCCAUCCCGCGUGAAGGAUUAAGGUCAACCUAUGGAUUGUAAACUUCUUUUGUAUAGGGAUAAACCUACCCUCGUGAGGGUAGCUGAAGGUACUAUACGAAUAAGCACCGGCUAACUCCGUGCCAGCAGCCGCGGUAAUACGGAGGGUGCAAGCGUUAUCCGGAUUUAUUGGGUUUAAAGGACGUCCGUAGGCGGACUUAUAAGUCAGUGGUGAAAGCCUGUCGCUUAACGAUAGAACUGCCAUUGAUACUGUAAGUCUUGAGUAUAUUUGAGGUAGCUGGAAUAAGUAGUGUAGCGGUGAAAUGCAUAGAUAUUACUUAGAACACCAAUUGCGAAGGCAGGUUACCAAGAUAUAACUGACGCUGAGGGACGAAAGCGAGGGGAGCGAACAGGAAUAGAUACCCUGGUAGUCCACGCCGUAAACGAUGCUAACUCGUUUUUGGGACUUCCGUAUCAGAAACCCAGCCAAAAUGGAAAGUUAGGCCCCUGGGGAGGACGCUCCCAAGAAUGGAA
rnacentral:rRNA from 1 species